ACCAAACAUCCCUUGAGAGAAACGUCAGUCUGAGACAUUCAAAUUUUUUUAUUUUGCGGGGGGGCAGUGUUGAAAUCUUGCUUCUGUGAUGUUGGCUGCCAAAGAUCCAAUCGCAAUGAUAGUGGAGCUAAUUAUCAAGAAACCAACAUCCGAGCAGCCUGCUGCACCCAUGGUGACUAAAGAGCUGAUCCCAGAAUUGGCCACCAAAAUGAUGGGGCUUCCUGAUGAGAGAAUCAUGGAGGGCAGUGGCUACUUCCCUUUC
rnacentral:lncRNA from 1 species